AGUGAACGCUGGCGGCGUGCCUAAUACAUGCAAGUCGAACGAAGUGGCGCACGGGUGAGUAAUAUAUAGUUAAUCUGCCCUACACAGAGGAACAACAGUUGGAAACUACUGCUAAUACCUCAUAGUGUAGGAUGAGACUAUAUCGUAUCAGCUAGUUGGUAAGGUAAUGGCUUACCAAGGCUAUGACGCGUAACUGGUCUGAGAGGAUGAUCAGUCACAUUGGAAAUGAGACACGGGCGAAACUCCGACGGGAGGAAGCAGUAAUGAAUAGUGCGCAAUGGGGGAAACCCGGACGCAGCAAAGCUGAGUGGAGGAUGAAACUUGUCGGGGCGGAAACUCCUUGUAUCAGGAAAGCGGUACCUGAUGAAUAAGCACCGGCUAACUCCGUGCCAGCAGCCGCGGUAAUUC
rnacentral:rRNA from 1 species